rnacentral:rRNA from 1 species
UACGGAGGGGGCUAGCGUUGUUCGGAAUUACUGGGCGUAAAGGGCGCGUAGGCGGCGUGUCAAGUCAGACGUGAAAUCCCUCGGCUUAACCGGGGAACUGCGUCUGAUACUGGAUGGCUUGAGUUUGGGAGAGGGAUGCGGAAUUCCAGGUGUAGCGGUGAAAUGCGCAGAUAUCGGGAGGAACACCUAUGGCGAAGGCAGCUCGCUGGGACGUUACUGACGCUGAGACGCGAAAGCGUGGGGAGCAAAACAGG